rnacentral:rRNA from 1 species
AUUGAACGCUGGCGGCGUGCUUAACACAUGCAAGUCGAUCGGUAACAGGUGUAGCAAUACAUGCUGACGAGAGGCGGACGGGUGAGUAAUGCUUGGGAAUCUGCCUAUUAGUGGGGGACAACCCGGGGAAACUCGGGCUAAUACCGCAUACGCUCUACGGAGGAAAGCCGGGGACCGCAAGGCCUGGCGCUAAUAGAUGAGCCCAAGUCGGAUUAGCUAGUUGGUAGGGAACGGCCUACCAAGGCGACAAUCCGUAGCUGGUCUGAGAGGACGACCAGCCACACCGGAACUGAGACACGGUCCGGACUCCUACGGGAGGCAGCAGUGGGGAAUAUUGGACAAGUGGGGCAACCCUGAUCCAGCGACGCCGCGUGGGUGAAGAAGGCCUGCGGGUUGUAAAGCCCUUUCGGGUGGGGAAGAAAAGUCUCGACCUAAUACGUCGGGACCUUGACGUAACCCACUAAAGAAGCACCGGCUAACUCUGUGCCAGCAGCCGC